UAAUUGGUAGUUCUGCGGUAGAACUCUCAUUUUCCAUGCAGGAGACCUGGGUUCAAUUCCCAACCAGUGAA
rnacentral:tRNA from 1 species